rnacentral:rRNA from 1 species
GACGAACGCUGGCGGCGUGCCUAACACAUGCAAGUCGAGCGAAGUGAGUACUACGGUACGAACUUAGCGGCGGACGGGGGAGUAACGCGCGGAAAAUCUACCCUGUAGACUGGGAUAACACCUCGAUAGGGGUGGUACUACCGGAUAAUGGCGAGAAGUGGGCCCGCUUUUCGUAGUAAGGAGAGAACCCGCUAUAGGAGGAGUCAGCGGCCCAUUAGCUAGUUGGUGAUGGUAACGGCCCACCAAGGCGACGAUGGGUAGCCGGCCUGAGAGGGUGAACGGCCACACUGGAACUGAGACACGGUCUAGACUCCUACGGGAGGCAGCAGUGGGAAAUAUUGUGCAAUGGGGGAAACCCUGACACAGCAACGCCGCGUGAGCGAAGAAGGCCUUCGGGUUGUAAAGCUCAAUAGUAUGGGAAGAUAAUGACGGUACCAUACGAAAGCCCCGGCUAACUACGUGCCAGCCGCCGCCGUAAGAC